GGAGCUGAAAGAGCGUUUCAGACGGAGGGUGAAAAGAGGUAUUUUCACACAGACAGCAUGAGAAGAACAAUGUGUUUUUGAACAUUAAAGCACGUAAACAUGUUCUAGUAGAAACCGAAAAUACAAGUAUGAACCU